CCUACGGGAGGCUGCAGUGGGGAAUAUUGCGCAAUGGGCGAAAGCCUGACGCAGCGACGCCGCGUGAGGGAUGAAGGUCUUCGGAUCGUAAACCUCUGUCAGCAGGGCAGAACGGUCACUGUGCUAAUCAGCAGUGCAUUGACGGUACCUGCAAAGGAAGCACCGGCUAACUCCGUGCCAGCAGCCGCGGUAAUACGGAGGGUGCGAGCGUUAAUCGGAAUUACUGGGCGUAAAGCGCUCGUAGGCGGUAUGUCAAGUCAAGGGUGAAAUCCCCGCGCUCAACGUGGGAACUGCCUUGGAAACUGGGAAACUGGAGUGUGUGAGAGGAUAGUGGAAUUCCAGGUGUAGGGGUGAAAUCCGUAGAUAUCUGGAGGAACAUCAGUGGCGAAGGCGACUAUCUGGCACAUAACUGACGCUGAGGAGCGAAAGCGUGGGUAGCAAACAGGAUUAGAUACCCCUGUAGUC
rnacentral:rRNA from 1 species